rnacentral:rRNA from 1 species
UACAUGGGGUGCAAACGUUGCUCGGAAUUAUUGGGCGUAAAGCGCGCGUAGGCGGUUAUCUAAGUCGGAUGUGAAAGCCCUCGGCUUAACUGAGGAAGUGCACCCGAAACUGGGUAGCUAGAGUACUAAAGAGGGUCGCGGAAUUCCCGGUGUAGAGGUGAAAUUCGUAGAUAUUCGCAAGAACACCAGUGGCGAAGGCGGCUCACUGGCCCGGUACUGACGCUGAGGUGCGAAAGCGUGGGGAGCAAACAGG